rnacentral:lncRNA from 1 species
AAAUUAGCCUCAGGCUCACUCCUACGGGGACACAUAUUUCUAGGGAAGUAAGGUCGCUUUAUACCUCCCACUCGGUGCUAAAGAUUUCUCCCAAACUUAGCUCAGAUCAUUUCAAAGACAAUCCAAAAUAAAACAAUUUCAGUAAUACAUAAAUAUACAUCAGGAGCCAUCAUGCUUCCCAUCUAUCAAAAUCAACCACAUUGUGGAUUUCUUUCACAC